UACGCAACACGCUUUCCAUAGAACGUAUAAUAUUACAUCGUAGUUUAAUUUUGCUUUUCAAGAUUUUCCUCCUCCUCGAUUUACUUUCUGAUAAUACAAGUCGAACGUCAAAGCUUGGAUGACAGGUUCAUGGCGUUGGGUGAUUGAUGAUGGUGGCUCAGAGUAUAAAGGAAGACUACAGGGUUGUUUGUGUGGCCGUGUAGUAUUGUUCUUGCUGAGUAUGUUUGACAACAAAGAUUACCCUUUUUCCGGAUUAGGGUUAGCGUAGUUGAGCUUGGAGCCAGGACUUCGUUACCGGGGUUAGUUGCCGCGAAAGUGAGCUCAGAUGUCACCCUAACCGAUGAUGCAAACAGACCAGAGGAUGUGCCCUAAAAUUCUGUGCUAAACAAAUCGGAAUUCCUCCCUCCACCUUCCUCUGCUGGAUUAAAUGUCGAGAUAAUGAAGUGGCUUCAUGCCUAUAGAGCCAUCUUCUUCGCGCUUAGUGAUCCACCAAUUGAUUAGUUUUUACGUUGUCAAUCCCAUUUGCAAAUUGCUGAGAAGAACGAUUCCAGCAGCUAUUCCUUGGUCGUUUUGAGUCUUUAGCUUUCAGCAGAUGCUGCAAAUGGUCAGAUUGGGUACUUGAUGCACCUUAUUGUCAAUGAAGGGUCUGAAGGCCAACUUGGAUGCCCCAUAUCUGUACUAAAGGGCUGUCAGCAUUUUUCAUCCUUAUAGCCAUGCUAGAUAUGCUUUCUUUCCCAGUAUGGGAAGAUUUAACCACGGAGACUAGUUGGGGUGUGCAUCCUCAAAAGUUAGAUCCUCAAAAUCAUCCAAGGUUUCAACUACUGUUCCACUACUUUUGUUUGGAGAACUAGAUUUAUGUUGUAGGUUUUGUUAAACAUCUAUCGACAAUGGCAAGGAUAGGCUCAACCUGUGGUUUUGCCUGCGGCAAUUUAUCUUAUACCGUUCUUCCAAUCGUACAAACUAGUAAUCUAAUUCUUGUCAACUUGGGAUCCAUGGGUAUUCCUUACUUUCCCCGCUGCAUCCAUGAUUCAAACACAUGUGAAAACAUAUAUAUGAGAUUUUGGAAAUGGUUUGAGGGCAUAUUCUGGUCUACAAUGUUUGUACAGGUAUUUUUCCUGUUGCUUGCGCAAAUAAAAGUUAUUUUAACAUUUCUCUUCCAACAAAACGUAGGAAGGAAUGGGGGAAGAAAAAUUGCGACCGGCAACAACGAGACUUGAACCCAAAUAUCAUGUCCAGUAAAAGAGCACAGGGUCUAGUUGUCUAUUUGGAAGUUCAAGUUCUGAUGCUGUAGAUGAUAUUUACCUUGACUCAUAAUUGGCUAUGGAUUUGGCUUGGCCACCUAUGAGUAUUAGCAGUGGAAGUAAUGCUGCUUCAGAUCUCAUACAUUUGUGAUAUGCACUUGGAAAGUUUUUGUCCCUUUCCUCUGAAUCCUCUCACAGGUGAAGAACAAAACCACGUGUAUCAAUCCCAUCCAAUGGGUUUGCUGAAAAUCUUAUUUGUACGCAGGUAUGGCCGGGUGGUUGUUUUCAUCCUGUUUGCAUUGCCGGAGAAUGCCCCUUGCCAUCACUUACCCAAAUAAAAAGUGAGACAGAAACAUGAGAUGAGAAGUACCUUGGUUGAUAUUCUAGUGUACUUCUUUGGAUAUCUCAUCUUAUUCCUUGCUCAAUACAAGCAUGCAUGUGACUAUUUUUCAUGGUUGAAAAGUUUUUUCCUGUGCAAGGCUUGUUUUAAUGUUCUGCGCCAAUUAGGUGCCUAAAAAUGCUCGGCACCGGAGAAAAAUGGAGGAAGUUUUUCGAAGAACAAAGAGUAUGCUGUUACGGACAUGAACUGCCCUCUUUGGUUCAAAUAAGACUGGCCUUUGAAAAACCGCUGCCGCAAUGGACUUCAUACCAAUAGGAACCAUCUUAACCAUGAUAGUGAACCAAGUCUAAAAUGAAUUUGACUAGUUUUUCAAUUUUCUCAUGUUUAUGCGAUACAAUACUUCCAGAAAUCAAUCAUCAUAAAUGAAUAGUUGUGGCCGAUGGUUGAAUUUUUAUUUUUAUUUUGUGGAACUUGUUUGACGUUAUUGUCAUUCUUGAACUCUCCAGGGUCAAAGAAGUGAAGAAUGUAAAUGGUAAGAGCACCUGUUCCCAUGGAACUUAAUGAACAAACACAAAGCUACUUGGUGAAGCAGGAGAGAUACCCCCUUUGCUUGAAAUGGCAUCUGGAAACAGCGAAUCUAAAGAGUUGGCUUUAUCUGCGUUGGUUAAGCUACCAGGCUGCCAUGUAAACAAGAACCGCGUCUGCACAGCUGGUUGGGUUCCUCUUCAUCUGAAGUUAAUCUUUUUCGUUCCAUCUACGCAAGUCAUAUUCGCAAAAUGCUCUGGAGUCCUUGAAACACUUGCUUCAAACGGAAAUGGAACUAUAUUCUUAAUUGAUGAAGCCAGGGCGCCCCAACUUGAAGUACUGCCCAUUAUCACCAACUUGUUACUUUUGCAUCAAAAGCCCAACACCUCAUAUAUUGUGAGGAAGCCAGCCUUGCGUUUUGAGAAGAAUUUGUUUAGAUUUCUGUUCUCACUUCAAAUGGGUUAUCACUGAUCAUUACUCUUCUUGAUGACUCCAUCUUGGAUCCAUGAAGUUGCAAUGAAUCUUCUCUUCCUCUUCUCACAAUAAGAGCCAGAAGGAGUUGUGGAAUGCCUUCUCAAGCCAAGAAGACUUGAAGCUUUAGUCAAUUUUCUAGAAAACAAGACAAGAUACCAUGUACAAAUGGCUGCAGCUGGUUUACCAGCCAAUUCACUUGGUUAAGGAUUUUUAACUUCCUUGUUUGAUAGGUGUGUUAAGGACGUUCGAACCUGAAUCUCUUUAUUGGGUGAAGGUUUUCCAAGCUAUUUUCUCAAUUUUCUCUUUUUUAUU